AACGAACGCUGGCGGCGCGCCUAAUACAUGCAAGUCGAACGAGAAGCUGUAGCAAUACAGUUGUACAGUGGCGAACGGGUGAGGAAUACAUGGGUGACCUACCCUCGAGUGGGGAAUAACCAGCCGAAAGGUUGGCUAAUACCGCGUACGCUUCCCAGUCUACGGGUUGGGAAGGAAAGCGAUGCCGUGGGUAUCGCGCUCAAGGUUGGGCUCAUGUCCUAUCAGCUGUUGGUGGGGUAACGGCUCACCAAGGCAACGACGGGUAGCUGGUCUGAGAGGACGAUCAGCCACACUGGCACUGCGACACGGGCCAGACUCCUACGGGAGGCAGCAGUAAGGAAUAUUGCGCAAUGGGCGAAAGCCUGACGCAGCGGCGCCGCGUGGGGGAUGAAGGUCUUCGGAUUGUAAACCCCUUUCGGGAGGGAAGAUGGACGAGCAAUCGUUCGGACGGUACCUCCAGAAGCAGCCACGGCUAACUUCGUGCCAGCAGCCGCA
rnacentral:rRNA from 1 species